GAUGAACGCUAGCGGCAGGCUUAACACAUGCAAGUCGAGGGGCAGCGCGGGAUAGCAAUAUCCUGGCGGCGACCGGCGGACGGGUGCGUAACGCGUGAGCGACAUGCCCGUUGCCCGGGGACAACCGGUGGAAACGCCGACUAAUCCCCGAUGGGAUACGAUGCUUCAUGGCAUUGUAUUGAAAGUUACGGCGGCGACGGAUUGGCUCGCGUCCGAUUAGCUGGUUGGCGGGGUAACGGCCCACCAAGGCUGCGAUCGGUAGGGGUUCUGAGAGGAAGGCCCCCCACAAUGGGACUGAGACACGGCCCAUACUCCGACGGGAGGCAGCAGUGAGGAAUAUUGGUCAAUGGGCGGAAGCCCGAACCAGCCAUGCCGCGUGCGGGAAGGAGGCCCUAUGGGCUGUGAACCGCUUUUGCCUGGGGGCAAUAAGGGCGUCGCGCACGUCCGAUGAGAGUACCAGGAGAAUAAGCAUCGGCUAACUCCGUG
rnacentral:rRNA from 1 species